rnacentral:rRNA from 1 species
UUUUGGUUAAGUUAUGAAGGGCGCACGGUGGAUGCCUUGGCACUAGGAGCCGAUGAAGGA